UACGAAGUGGGCUAGCGUUGCUCGGAAUCACUGGGCGUAAAGGGUGCGUAGGCGGAUCUUUAAGUCAGGGGUGAAAUCCUGGAGCUCAACUCCAGAACUGCCUUUGAUACUGAGGAUCUCGAGUUCGGGAGAGGUGAGUGGAACUGCGAGUGUAGAGGUGAAAUUCGUAGAUAUUCGCAAGAACACCAGUGGCGAAGGCGGCUCACUGGCCCGAUACUGACGCUGAGGCACGAAAGCGUGGGGAGCAAACAGG
rnacentral:rRNA from 1 species